rnacentral:lncRNA from 1 species
GCCUGAACAAUCAUGGCUCGACCCGAAUGGCGUUGACGGGUUCGUCCUCGCGUUCGAGAAUAAUAAUAAGAAUAAUAGAAAGAAAAGUUGGUUUGUAACAUAGGACAUUAUUGGAGUGUGAUAUUUGAUUCGGAGAAAGAGGAGAUGAUGAUGAUGGGGUUUUAGUGGUGCUAAUUGUGCGGACCAUCAUAAUUAUUAAUUAUUAAAGUUAAUGAUGCGUUAGUAACUCCUUAGUGGGGAGACGAAGAGUGUGGGUUUAAGAUCGUUCAUUGAUUGGAAGAUCAAAGGUUUUGUGCGGCUGAAACAAUUGUGAUUAGAGAAGAGAGGAGAAGGUAAGAUAAAGGAGGAACCGCUACGUGGCAAGACUUUAUGGAAAAUAAUGUAUAGGUAUAGAGGUAUAGAUAAAGAUAAUUUGUUUAAUUAGAAAUAGUGGAAAACACUGUAAUUAUAAAUAAUUUGUAACAACCGCAUGUGCACUCAGCAUUUCGAACAAGGUUUUAAGUACCCGUCGGCACGGGCCGUAUCCACCGUGCCGUAUCGUACCAACAAGAUAUCGGCACGAUACAGAUCCCGUGCCGAUGGCACAGCUAAAAGCCCUCUAUUCUUUAAAUUAGAAAAUAAUUUCCUCAAUAAAAUUCAAAAGAUGUGAUAAAAAAACAUAGUAAAUAGUUAGAAUAUUUUGUAACUAAAGAAAAUAAAUAUUUCAUGCUGUUAUGUGUCGGCAUGCAAGAAUUUUUUUGACCGACACGCAUCGGCACGGCUCGGCACAUAUCGUGCCGGCAAAUUUCCGACACGAUCCCGUGCCAAAGCACUUAAAUCCUUGAUUUCAAAUACAAAAAU